rnacentral:rRNA from 1 species
UACAGAGGUCCCAAGCGUUGUUCGGAUUCAUUGGGCGUAAAGGGUGUGUAGGUGGCGCCGUAAGUCGGACGUGAAAUCCCCUGGCUCAACCAGGGAACUGCGUCCGAUACUGAUUGGCUUGAAUCCGGGAGAGGGAUGUGGAAUUCCAGGUGUAGCGGUGAAAUGCGUAGAUAUCUGGAGGAACACCGGUGGCGAAGGCGGCAUCCUGGACCGGUAUUGACGCUGAGGCGCGAAAGCCAGGGGAGCAAAGCGGG